rnacentral:snRNA from 1 species
GUGGUACAUAUACUAAAAUUGGAACGAUACAGAGAAGAUUAGCAUGGCCCCUGCGUAAGCAUGACAUGCGAAAUUGUGAAGUGUUCCAUAUUUUU